rnacentral:rRNA from 1 species
AGGACGAACGCUGGCGGCGUGCUUAACACAUGCAAGUCGAGCGGAAAGGCCCUUCGGGGUACUCGAGCGGCGAACGGGUGAGUAACACGUGAGUAAUCUGCCCCUAGCUCUGGGAUAGCUCCGGGAAACCGGGAUUAAUACUGGAUACGACCACCUUAGACAUCUUUUGUGGUGGAAAGAAUUUCGGCUAGGGAUGAGCUCGCGGCCUAUCAGCUUGGUUGGUGGGGUAACGGCCUACCAAGGCGACGACGGGUAG